CGUUGAUUUGCCCCUCCUUUUCCUCCCAAAUUUCAUUUCCUUACAAGAAACCAGAAGCACUUGUAAGUACAUAUAUGUAAUAGAAGCUGACCAUAGACAGACAAGCCAAACUCUCUCUCUCUAGAAUUUCUUUUUCUUCUUUUUUUUUUUUUUGACCUGGUUUGGUUAUCUUUGUUUCAAGUAUAUGAUUCCUAAAGAAACAAACAAAGCCUUUCUCUCUUUUUCUAUCACCUUCUCUGUUCAUAGUUUCAUUAUUUUUUUUUCUUUUUGAAGCCUCUCUUACCUUAAUUUGGUUUCUGCCUUCUGUGAUGGCUGGUCGUUAUGAUCCAAACCCUUUUGAUGAAGAGGAAGCUAACCCUUUCAUUGACCCGGCUGAGAGGUCGAAAGCAUCAGGGCAGUCGAAGUAUAGUGGGAGUGCAUUCAACACAACAGGUGUUCCUCCUGCUUCAAACUCGAGGCUUUCACCACUUCCUCCUGAACCUGCUGGUUUUUACAAUUAUGGUACAACGGUCGACAUUCCUAUUGAUGCAGCUGCGGAUUUAAGAAAGAAAGAGAAGGAACUUCAGGCUAGGGAGGCUGAGCUGAGAAGACGGGAGAAGAGGUUAGAAGAUGCAGCUGCAAGAGCUGGAGUUGUCCUGGAAGAGAAAAACUGGCCACCAUUUUUCCCAAUUAUCCAUCAUGAUGUCGCAAACGAAAUACCAGUUCAUCUACAAAAAAUUCAGUAUGUUGCAUUAACAACAUUUUUAGGAUUGACUUUUUGUCUUUUCUGGAACGUCAUCGCUGUUACAACAGCAUGGAUUCAAGGGGAAGGGGCGAACAUCUGGUUUCUUUCUGUUAACUACUUCAUAUCAGGAGUUCCUGGAGCUUAUUUUUUGUGGUAUCGUCCACUCUAUCGUGCAUUUAGGACUGAGAGUGCUAUGAGGUUCGGAUGGUUUUUCUUGUUUUAUGUGCUUCACAUUGGCUUCUGCAUCUUUGCUGCUGUGGCUCCUCCUAAAAUUUUCAAAGGAAAAUCUCUCACUGGUAUUAUGGCUGCCGUAGAUGUUGUGGGUAACUAUACUAUAGCCGGGGCUAGAUGGUUAAUUGUUUCUCGUGCUUAUAGAUCUUCUACUUCAUCGGAUUUGGUUGUUUCUCUCUUGAGUCACUGCUAAGCAUCUGGGUUAUUCAGCAAGUAUACAUGUACUUCCGUGGAAGUGGCAAAGCUGCCCAGAUGAAGCGUGAAGCUGCUAGAGGAGCAUUGAGGGCAGCAGUUUGAUUCUAUGCUCUUGCUUGCAUUUUUCUUCUCUUUUGUUGAAACAUGGAUGGGAUUAAAUGUAGAGAUGCAUAAUAAUCUUGGGGAAAUCACGUAGAUAUCCAGUUGGUGUUUGCAAAGAGGUCAACUUGGAUCAAUCUUUUGCAGGGCCUCAAAACUUUGAACAUGUUUUAGAAUUUAACCCUUGGGGAUUGGAUUGGGUGGUAAUUUUGUUUGCUUCCCACGUUACCUUCUCGGGUUCAAAUGUACAAAGGGAGGCCUUGAGAAAAAUUGCUCUCAUGUGGAUAGCUUAUACAAGACCUGAUUGAAAGGAGACGGUUCGGGUGCCUGUUAGCAAACCAAGAACACCACUAGUGUUUACUGAACAUCUUAGAAAACAGGUUGGAGGGCUGUCAGGGAAAGGCUCUUUUCAACAUUUACAAGCUCGCUGAUACAUGGCUGCAGUAGUUUACAAGACACUGACAGGAUGAUUUAUUAAGGGCUUUAUUGGUACAGAACAGCCAAGAGUUCUAAUUUGACAUAAAAGAAGCAGAUCCCACGCAACAAUUUCCUAAGCAGAAUGCGUUCAAUUCAGUCUUUCAAUGGGAAGGAAUUGUUGCGAUGUAUAAAAAACAAAGCAAAUAUUUGAUAACAAGUGGACUCUUCAAACUUA